rnacentral:rRNA from 1 species
GACGAACGCUGGCGGCGUGCUUAACACAUGCAAGUCGAACGGAAAGGCCCUUCGGGGUACUCGAGUGGCGAACGGGUGAGUAACACGUGAACAAUCUGCCCUCAGCUCUGGGAUAACUGUCGGAAACGAUUGCUAAUACCGGAUAUGACGCUUCGCCGCAUGGUGGGGUGUGUAAAGUUUUUCGGUCUGGAGAUGAGUUCGCGGCCUAUCAGCUUGUUGGUGGGGUAAGUGGCCUACCAAGGCGUCGACGGGUAGCCGGCCUGAGAGGGCGACCGGCCACACUGGGACUGAGACACGGCCCAGACUCCUACGGGAGGCAGCAGUGGGGAAUAUUGCACAAUGGGCGGAAGCCUGAUGCAGCGACGCCGCGUGAGGGAUGACGGCCUC